UACGUAGGGGGCGAGCGUUGUCCGGAUUUAUUGGGCGUAAAGAGCGUGUAGGCGGCCAGGUAGGUCUGCUGUGAAAACUCGAGGCUCAACCUCGAGACGUCGGCGGAAACCAUCUGGCUAGAGUCCGGAAGAGGAGAGUGGAAUUCCUGGUGUAGCGGUGAAAUGCGCAGAUAUCAGGAGGAACACCGGUGGCGAAGGCGGGUCUCUGGGCAAUAACUGACGCUGAGGGGCGAAAGCGUGGGGAGCGAACAGG
rnacentral:rRNA from 1 species